rnacentral:rRNA from 1 species
UUUUCACGGGAUCCGUGCCGUAGCUAAGCAUAAGUACCCCGCCUGGGGAGUACGGCCGCAAGGCUAAAAUCAAAGGAAUUGACGGGGCCCGCACAAGCGGCGGAGCAUGUGGUUUAAUUCGAUGCAACGCGAAGAACCUUACCUGGGUUUGACAUACACCAGACGCGGCUAGAGAUAGUCGUUCCCUUGUGGUUGGUGUACAGGUGGUGCAUGGCUGUCGUCAGCUCGUGUCGUGAGAUGUUGGGUUAAGUCCCGCAACGAGCGCAACCCUUGUCCUGUAUUGCCAGCGGGUUAUGCCGGGGACUUGCAGGAGACUGCCGGGGUCAACUCGGAGGAAGGUGGGGAUGACGUCAAGUCAUCAUGCCCCUUAUGUCCAGGGCUUCACACAUGCUACAAUGGCUGGUACAGAGGGCUGCGAUACCGUGAGGUGGAGCGAAUCCCUUAAAGCCAGUCUCAGUUCGGAUUGGGGUUUGCAACUCGACCCCAUGAAGUCGGAGUCGCUAGUAAUCGCAGAUCAGCAACGCUGCGGUGAAUACGUUCCCGGGCCUUGUACACACCGCCCGUCACGUCAUGAAAGUCGGUAACACCUGAAGCCGGACCCCGUACCC